rnacentral:lncRNA from 1 species
CUUGCUGGCUGGCCCGCCUCCACGUGCGGCACUCCGUAAUGGGCCCGGCGGGUGCCUGCUCAGUGCCAGUGUCACCUCCGUCGCGGCUGUUGGGCACUGAGUGUCGUCCCGGUGCCGAUCCAGCUGACGACGACCGGCAAGAAAGAAAUCUAUAUAAUAACAAGAAACGGAGGAGGAAAUUUCCACCCAGAGUUUAAGAACAGACCAAAAAUAAAAAAUAAAAGAAA